GAUGAAGAACGUAGCGAAAUGCGAUAAGUAAUGUGAAUUGCAGAGUUCAGUGAAUCAUCGAAUCUUUGAACGCACAUUGCGCCCGUCAGUAUUCUGACGGGCAUGCCUGUCCGAGCGUCAUUUCAACCCUCAAGCACUGCUUGGCGUUGGCGGAUUGCGAGCCCUCGCGGCGCUGCAACCGCCCAAAUACAGUGGCGGUCCCGCCCGCGGCAACCUUUGCGUAGUAGCACAAACCUCGCAUCUGGUGUCCGGUGGUGACCACGCCGUAAAACGAACCCAUUUUCUCAUGAGUUGACCUCGGAUCAGGUAGGAAUACCCGCUGAACUUAAGCAUAUCAAUAAGCGGAGGA
rnacentral:misc_RNA from 1 species